UUGACGUGCUUCAUUCUCCUGAUACGUCACUUCCUGGUUGUGUGUGACGUCCAGCCCCUCCCUGUGGUUGCUAGGCUACAGCUGUCCAGACGUGCUGGGGGUGGUGGGGAGGAGAGAGUUCCCUAUCCGGCCGGGACGACCAAACACACAGGCUGCUGGAAAAGAGGAACCUCUGAACAUCCUGUCCUCAAUCAAGUACACCAGGUGUGUGUGUCUGUCGACUGUUUAACCUCUAUCCAUUUACCUCAAUCAAUCAAUCAAUCAAUCAAAUGUAUUUAUAAAGCCCUGUUUACAUCAGCUGAUGUCUCAAAGUGCUGUACAGAAACCCAGCCUUCAACCCCAAACAGCAAGCAAUGCAGGUGUAGAAGCACGGUGGCUAGGAAAAAUUCCCUAGAAAGGCCAGAACCUAGGAAGAAACCGAGAGAGGAACCAGGCUCUGAGGGGUGGCCAGUCCUCUUCUGGCUGUGCCGGGUGGAGAGGAACCAGGCUCUGAGGGGUGGCCAGUCCUCCUCUGGCUGUGCCGGGUGGAGAUUAUAAACCUAGAGAGGAACCAGGCUCUGAGGGGUGGCCAGUCCUCUUCUGGCUGUGCCGGGUGGAGAGGAACCAGGCUCUGAGGGGUGGCCAGUCUUCUUCUGACUGUACUGGGUAGAGAGGAACCAGGCUCUGAGGGGUAGCCAGUCCUCUUCUGGCUGUGCCGGGUGGAGAUUAUAAACCUAGAGAGGAACCAGGCUCUGAGGGGUGGCCAGUCCUCUUCUGGCUGUGUCGGGUGGAGAGGAACCAGGCUAUGAGGGGUGGCCAGUCCUCUUCUGGCUGUGCCGGGUGGAGAGGAACCAGGCUCUGAGGGGUGGCCAGUCCUCUACUGGCUGUACUGGGUAGAGAGGAACCAGGCUCUGAGGGGUAGCCAGUCCUCUUCUGGCUGUGCCGGGUGGAGAUUAUAAACCUAGAGAGGAACCAGGCUCUGAGGGGUGGCCAGUCCUCUACUGGCUGUACUGGGUAGAGGUUAUAAACCUAGAGAGGAACCAGGCUCUGAGGGGUAGCCAGUCCUCUACUGGCUGUACUGGGUAGAGGUUAUAAACCUAGAGAGGAACCAGGCUCUGAGGGGUGGCCAGUCCUCUACUGGCUGUACUGGGUAGAGGUUAUAACAGUACAUGGCCAUUUAAGGCCAGGUUGUUCUUCAAGAUGUUCAAACGUUCAUAGAUGACCAGCAGGAUCAAAGAAUAAUUACAGUGGUUGUAGAGGGUGCAACAGGUCGGUACCUCAGGAGCCUAAAUGUCAGUUGGCUGUUCAUAGCUGAGC
rnacentral:lncRNA from 1 species